GGUGGAGACUGCAAGUAAGCCAAGAUCAUGCCACUGCACUAUAGCCUGGGUGGCAGAGCGAGACUCUGUCUAAAAAAAAAAAUAAAAAUAAAAGAAUUAAAACUGAAUUUAAUCUAUUUCCUCCUACAAAAGAUUUAGUGUUUAAGCAUUUAGAGUUCUAGUUCAGGGGUCCACUAAUUUUCUUCUAUAAAGGACCAGAAAACAAAUACUUCAGGCUUUGGAAGCCUCUAUCACAACAACUCAAACACAAUACCUGAACAGCCAUAAAUGAAGGAGCAUUGCUGUGUUCAAUAAAACUUUUAUGAAGCCGCCACCAGUGUAAAUUUGACACAUAGGCUGUAGAUUGCUAAGCACUAUUCUAAUUCAAAAAUUUAACACUAAAACUAGACAAGGGAUUUAAUUAAGUGACACAGGCAAGUCUUUACUAAUGUUUUUGGCCCCAGUUAAUUGAUUUCUCAAAUGAGAUUUAAUAACAGUUUCUCAAUGUCUCCUGAAAAAAACAGAAGUAUUAUUUAUAUAAGGACUGUGGUCUCAUUAAAGGAUUGCUCAAACUCUUCAAUUACACUAUGAGAUAAUGAACCAUAUAAGACUGAAUACAGCUUUCUUAAAAAAAAAAUACAGAUGUCGUUAAACUGCCUAACCAGGAUUUAGAAUAAAAUAAUUUUAGAAUUUAAAAAAAUCCAGAAUUUAACCCUUAUGUUACUCAUAGUUAAGAAAGAUUAUUCUAAACUGCCUCAACUUUUUUGAAAUAAAGCAGGAAGAAAGGUUAAGUGCAUUAGUUACAAACAAGUAAAAAAAAGUAAUUUUUUCUGUAGAGAAUAUAUUCAUUAGUUUAAUGUAGUUAAUUGUAAUUAAUAAUUUAAGAAUUAAAAAGGUACCUUGGAGUCAUGUAUUUUCUGUGACUAACGCCAGAUACAACGAUUAAAAAACAAAAAAAGAAAGAGAAAAAGUGACCUAAUCUAACCUCCAUAAAUAGUGGAGGGAACUUAAGCAGGAAUUCAUGUUUCCUGACUUUCAGGGGUCUUUUCCUAUUCUAUAGUUUAUAUAGGUAAAACAACUGCAUUCCAAGGCAUAACAAAUUCAUACUCCAGUAUUCUCCAACUGUCACUAUUCUUAUAUUAUAAAUUCUGCCUGUUUACCAGUUAAGUGGAAAAAAAAGUCAAUGGUAUUAAAAUGUAACACAAAUCUCCGAGUCCAUGCUUUUAUCUAAAAUCCCGUUCUCAAAGACAUACUUUCUAAAAUGUUUGGAAAAUGAAACAAAAUUCUCCUCAUCCCAUCCACCUAAUGCUUGACUACACUUCUGUUUUCCCUACAAUUUAAGUAAUUUCACUGAGUAUUUUCGCUGGAAGUUUUUAACUGUACAUGUGGGCCCCUUUAUUUCUCCUUAAACUUUUAACACCUCUUUCAGGCUGUAAAUUCCUUAAGGGUGUCUAGCACAAAAAAGGUGCUGAAUACGUAUUCAGUAAAUGAAUGCGCAUAAAAACAAUGGAUAAUUAUGACCUUUAACAUAGGGGUUCAAGCUAUUUUACUAUUAUCUGACUUGACAGUCAAGAAAACUAUCCUAACUUGCCGCAAAUAUCCACUACUGUGAUAAACAAAGCGCUAUAAAACACUUCAUAAAGUUUUUAAAGACUUUAUAAUCACUUGAAAUAACGCCGUAUUGGCCGAGAGUAGGUUGAAAGAAAAUGUUGCCCCACGCUAAGCAAAUGCUAUCCCAGCAAAAGCUUUCUUUCCUGGCGAGAACUAAAAUAGUUCUCCACUUAGAAGGCAAAUACUCCACUGCUCCCUUCUUGGAGAGGGAACUCCUUGAGGGUUCCCGCAGAAAACAAAUGGGCCUCAGAGGAAGCUCGCCCAAAGGCCAGGCCGGGGCCCCGUUCCUCGCUGACUACUGGCGGCGCAGCGGACGCCGCAGGGCGGGUCCCGGGAGCGGCGCGCGGGCUAGGCGGGCUCCGACCUCUUGACCUUCCACACACGCCGGGCGUCCCCGGCUCCCGCUGGCUGGAGUCCAUGCCUACUUGUUGUGCUCAGGUGAAGCCAGACUCUCCCGGAGCCCAGGAGGAAGAAGGACGGACCGCACUGCCCAUCGGCUAACCCCGCGCCCCAGUCAGCCCCUCCUCGGCGGGCUCCGGCCCUUGGGGCCAGGACACCUAGCCGCUCGACCAGUUCCCCCACCGGCUUCUUUCGAGAUUACAUCGCUGCCGCGACCACCCUCGGGAUCCUGGAGCGCUCAACUCACAUUGCUGGCCCCGGGCCUCCUUUGUUGCCCAGGCUGGACUAAGUGGCUAUUCACAUGUUGAUGGUGCAAUCAUGGUGCACACUACAGCCUUGACCUUCUGGGCUCAUGCAAUCCUUCUGCCUCAGCCUCCCAAUUAAGUAGCUUGGACUACAGUGCUAUCGUCAUCAUACAUAUACCGUGAAAGUAAAAUAUCUAUUGAAGAUUCUUUGAACACAUUGGGCUGGAAGAGCUACAGAAAACCAAGGU